GACGAACGCUGGCGGCGUGCCUAAUACAUGCAAGUUGAGCGCUGAAGGUUGGUACUUGUACCAACUGGAUGAGCAGCGAACGGGUGAGUAACGCGUGGGGAAUCUGCCUUUGAGCGGGGGACAACAUUUGGAAACGAACGCUAAUACCGCAUAAAAACUUUAAACACAAGUUUUAAGUUUGAAAGAUGCAAUUGCAUCACUCAAAGAUGAUCCCGCGUUGUAUUAGCUAGUUGGUGAGGUAAAGGCUCACCAAGGCGAUGAUACAUAGCCGACCUGAGAGGGUGAUCGGCCACAUUGGGACUGAGACACGGCCCAAACUCCUACGGGAGGCAGCAGUAGGGAAUCUUCGGCAAUGGACGAAAGUCUGACCGAGCAACGCCGCGUGAGUGAAGAAGGGUUUCGGAUCGUAAAACUCUGUUGGUAGAGAAGAACGUUGGUGAGAGUGGAAAGCUCAUCAAGUGACGGUAACUACCCAGAAAGGGACGGCUAACUACGUG
rnacentral:rRNA from 1 species